CCUACGGGAGGCAGCAGUGGGGAAUAUUGGACAAUGGGGGCAACCCUGAUCCAGCCAUGCCGCGUGUGUGAAGAAGGCCCUCGGGUUGUAAAGCACUUUCAGUGAGGAAGAACGCCUGGUGGUUAAUACCCAUCAGGAAAGACAUCACUCACAGAAGAAGCACCGGCUAACUCCGUGCCAGCAGCCGCGGUAAUACGGAGGGUGCGAGCGUUAAUCGGAAUUACUGGGCGUAAAGCGCGCGUAGGUGGCUUGAUAAGCCGGUUGUGAAAGCCCCGGGCUCAACCUGGGAACGGCAUCCGGAACUGUCAAGCUAGAGUGCAGGAGAGGAAGGUAGAAUUCCCGGUGUAGCGGUGAAAUGCGUAGAGAUCGGGAGGAAUACCAGUGGCGAAGGCGGCCUUCUGGACUGACACUGCCACUGAGGUGCGAAAGCGUGGGUAGCAAACAGGAUUAGAUACCCCGGUAGUC
rnacentral:rRNA from 1 species